rnacentral:rRNA from 1 species
CCUACGGGUGGCAGCAGUGAGGAAUAUUGGUCAAUGGGCGUAAGCCUGAACCAGCCAAGUCGCGUGAGGGAUGAAGGUCCUAUGGAUCGUAAACUUCUUUUAUAAGGGAAUAAAGUGUGGGACGUGUCCUGUUUUGUAUGUACCUUAUGAAUAAGGAUCGGCUAACUCCGUGCCAGCAGCCGCGGUAAUACGGAGGAUCCGAGCGUUAUCCGGAUUUAUUGGGUUUAAAGGGUGCGUAGGCGGCCUUUUAAGUCAGCGGUGAAAGUCUGUGGCUCAACCGUGGAAUUGCCGUUGAUACUGGCAGGCUUGAGUAUGUGUGAGGCAGGCGGAAUGCGUGGUGUAGCGGUGAAAUGCUUAGAUAUCACGCAGAACCCCGAUUGCGAAGGCAGCCUGCCAAGCCAUGACUGACGCUGAUGCACGAAAGCGUGGGGAUCAAACAGGAUUAGAUACCCUUGUAGUC